AACAGAUCACUGCAGCCUUGACCUCCUGGCCUCAAGACAUCCUCCCACAUCAGCUUCCUAAGUAGCUGGGACCACAGGCAUGUGGUCUUGAACUCCUGGUCUCAAGCAAUUCCUCUGCCUCAGCCUCCAGAAAUGUUUGGAUUACAGAUGUGAGCCACUGCACCUAGUCUUAAGGUAUUUUCAACUAAGAGACAAGGUCUUGCUAUGCUGCCCUCGAACUCCUGGCCUCAAAUGAUCCUCCUGCCUCGGCUUCCCAAAUUACAGGAUUUUCACCACAUAUACCAACCGAUAUGACAUGCCACAACUGAUUGAAUGAAGAAGCAGAUAGAAGAAUCUUGCUGUCCUCUAUUAAGCCAGGUAAAACAGAGAUUUCCAAAAAUGUAAGAAAUGAC